rnacentral:rRNA from 1 species
UACGGAGGGUGCAAGCGUUAUCCGGAUUCACUGGGUUUAAAGGGUGCGUAGGUGGGUAUGUAAGUCAGAGGUGAAAUCCCCGAGCUUAACUUGGGAACUGCCUUUGAUACUAUAUAUCUUGAAUGCCGUAGAGGUAAGCGGAAUAUGUCAUGUAGCGGUGAAAUGCUUAGAUAUGACAUGGAACACCAAUUGCGAAGGCAGCUUACUAUGCGGUAAUUGACACUGAGGCACGAAAGCGUGGGUAGCAAACAGG